rnacentral:rRNA from 1 species
CUCAACAAGCAGGGAUCGGUUCGUUAUUUGACGAGACUGCUCCUUUUGUUUGUGUAUCUCGGCGGAAUACCUAGGGUGCUCUUCACCGAGUGUCCUAUGUGGCCGCCAGGUUUACUUUGAAAAAAUUAGAGUGCUCCAAGCAGGCUCGACACGCCUGAAUAUUCGUGCAUGGAAUAAUGGAAUAGGACGUCGUUCCUAUUUUGUUGGUUUUCGGGAAUCGACGUAAUGAUUAAUAGGGACAGCCGGGGGCAUUAGUAUUCAGACGACAGAGGUGAAAUUC